ACGGAGGGGGCGAGCGUUAUUCGGAAUUAUUGGGCGUAAAGGGCGCGUAGGCGGCCCGGUAAGUCAAAGGUGAAAUCCCUCGGCUCAACUGAGGAAUUGCCUUUGAAACUGCAGGGCUUGAGUCCGGGAGGUGGUAGCGGAAUUCCCAGUGUAGCGGUGAAAUGCGUAGAUAUGCGGAGGAACACCGAUGGCGAAGGCAAUCCCCUGGGCCUGCACUGACGCUCAUGCACGAAAGCGUGGGGAGCAAACAGGA
rnacentral:rRNA from 1 species